UUGAAAGGGAAACGAUUGAAGUCAGUCGUACCAGCGGGNNAUCAACCUUUCGAGUGGGGNNUUUGGAGUUUUUUGAAGAGUGUCAAAACCUUUGAGAUUUCAAAAUAUUCGCUCUUUUGGUGUACUUUCUCGUGGGUAGGUUAACAUCGAUUUCGAUCAUCAUAAAAGGAUUGGAGGAAUGUAGCUUCGAUCUUGUAUUGAAGUGUUAUAGCCUUUGGUAAAUGUGAUGAUUGGGAUCGAGGAUUGCAACGAAUACCCUUUUGGGCUAUCCGCCUGAUCUCUGAUACGUGGCCUUGGCAUCGAAAGCUUGCUUAUGGUAUCAAGGUAUUACGGUCAAAAGGUUAGAACGGAUUACAUUCGUUAAGGAUGUUGACGUA
rnacentral:rRNA from 1 species